rnacentral:lncRNA from 1 species
UACUGUUGUAUUAAUAAUAAUUUAUUUUCAAUAUGACUUAUUUAAUGGAAUGGAUGAAGCAAAGGACGAGAUUCAGCGGGAAGGGCUGGGCUUCGAGACCUGAUCCUUUCUCAUUUUAAUGCUGCUCCCUCACUGUGGUCAGCCUGAGUGGGAUCGGCUGCCCGGCCUUCAUUUUACCUUUGUUGCCAUCUCUCUUUGCGGUGGUUCUUUCUCUUCCUCCUCCUCCGCCUCAUAAGCAAAGGGUAAGGCACAGUUCUGAAUCUUUGGUUCUGUAAAGAGGCGUGCCCAUCUCUGUGCUUGAUUCCACUGUUCUGGAACUUCAUCAGGCGUCGGAGUGGGGCUAGUGCUGGGACCCCUUGAGGAGGUGGGCUAAAUAGGACCAGUCUUGAUUAGGGAAAUUAAAAAGCCAGCAUUUGCUAUGUAAUAAGAUGUCAAGGCUGGGGCAGAGUAGAUGCUACUUUGUUUUAAAACUUGAUUUGCUUUCAAGACUUGUACGUAAAUUACUUUUCAAGCUCAUAUCACACGAUAUAGUCC